rnacentral:rRNA from 1 species
GACGUAGGGGGCUAGCGUUGUUCGGAAUUACUGGGUGUAAAGGGUUCGUAGGCGGUGUGGCAAGUCGGGAGUGAAAUCUCUGGGCUCAACCCAGAGGCUGCUUCCGAAACUGCUGUGCUUGAGUGUGGGAGAGGCGCGUGGAAUUGCAGGUGUAGCGGUGAAAUGCGUAGAUAUCUGCAGGAACACCCGUGGCGAAAGCGGCGCGCUGGACCACUACUGACGCUGAAGAACGAAAGCUAGGGGAGCAAACAGG